rnacentral:rRNA from 1 species
AUUGAACGCUGGCGGCAGGCCUAACACAUGCAAGUCGAACGAGUGGCGGACGGGUGAGUAAUGUCUGGGAAACUGCCCGAUGGAGGGGGAUAACUACUGGAAACGGUAGCUAAUACAGCAUCCCAUCGGAUGUGCCCAGAUGGGAGUAGCUAGUAGGUGGGGUAACGGCUCACCUAGGCGAAGAUCCCUAGCGUGUCUGAGAGGAUGACCAGCAACACUGGAACGGAGACACGGUCCAGACUCCUACGGUAGGCAGCAGUGGGGAAUAUUGCACAAUGGGCGCAAGCCUGAUGCAGCCAUGCCGCGUUUAUGAAGAAGGCCUUCGGGUUGUAAAGUACUUUCAGCGAGGAGGCGUUACUCGCAGAAGAAGCACCGGCUAACUCCGUGCCAGCCGCCGCGGUAAUUC